rnacentral:tRNA from 1 species
GCCGGAAUAGCUCAGCUGGUAGAGCAACGCAUUCGUAAUGCGUAGGUCGUCAGUUCGAAUCUGACUUCCGGCACCA